rnacentral:tRNA from 1 species
GGAGACGUGGCCGAGUCAGGUUGAAGGCGCUUCCCUGCUAAGGAAGUAACGGUGGAAGCCGUUCGUGGGUUCAAAUCCCACCGUCUCCGCCA